rnacentral:rRNA from 1 species
CCUACGGGAGGCAGCAGUAGGGAAUCUUUCACAAUGGGCGAAAGCCUGAUGGAGCAACGCCGCGUGCAGGAUGAAGGCCUUCGGGUUGUAAACCUCUUUUGCCGGGGAGCAAAGUGCCGCACGUGUGCGGUUUGGAGAGUACCCGGAGAAAAAGCAUCGGCUAACUCCGUGCCAGCAGCCGCGGUAAUACGGAGGAUGCGAGCGUUAUCCGGAUUUAUUGGGUUUAAAGGGUGCGUAGGCGGACGCUUAAGUCAGCGGUAAAAUUGCGGCGCUCAACCUCGUCGAGCCG